rnacentral:rRNA from 1 species
CGCCGUGGUGCUGCUGUACAUGGCCACUCAGAUCUCGUCAGCCAUGGAGUACCUGGAGAAGAAAAACUUCAUCCACAGAGAUCUUGCUGCCCGAAACUGCCUGGUAGGGGAGAACCACUUGGUGAAGGUAGCUGAUUUUGGCCUGAGCAGGUUGAUGACAGGGGACACCUACACAGCCCAUGCUGGAGCCAAGUUCCCCAUCAAAUGGACUGCACCCGAGAGCCUGGCCUACAACAAGUUCUCCAUCAAGUCCGACGUCUGGGCUUUGGAGUAUAGGGAGGCAGCAGUGGGGAAUAUUGGACAAUGGGGGCAACCCUGAUCCAGCGACGCCGCGUGUGUGAAGAAGGCCUGCGGGUUGUAAAGCACUUUUAGUGGGGAUGAAAUGUGCAGGGUUAAUACCUCUGCAUUUUGACCUAACCCACAGAAAAAGCACCGGCUAACUCUGUGCCAGCAGCCGCGGUAAUACAGAGGGUGCAAGCGUUAAUCGGAAUUACUGGGCGUAAAGCGUGCGCAGACGGUUAUAUAAGUCGGGUGUGAAAGCCCCGGGCUCAACCUGGGAAUUGCAUUCGAGACUGUGUAGCUAGGGUACGGAAGAGGGAAGCGGAAUUUCAGGUGUAGCGGUGAAAUGCGUAGAUAUCUGAAGGAACACCAGUGGCGAAAGCGGCUUCCUGGUCCAGCACCGACGUUCAGGCACGAAAGCGUGGGGAGCAAACAGGAUUAGAUACCCUGGUAGUCCACGCCAUAAACGAUGAGAACUAGACGUUG